rnacentral:rRNA from 1 species
UGCCAGUAGUCAUAUGUUGUCUCAAAGAUUAAGCCAUGCAUGUGUCAGUACAAGCCAAAUUAAGGUGAAACCGCGAAAGGCUCAUUAAAUCAGUUAUGGUUCCUUAGAUCGUACCCACAAUUACUUGGAUAACUGUGGUAAUUCUAGAGCUAAUACAUGCAAAUAGAGCUCCGACCAGAGAUGGAAGGAGUGCUUUUAUUAGAUCAAAACCAAUCGGUGGCGGUUCGCCGUCAUCGUAUAAUUUGGUGACUCUGAAUAACUUUACGCUGAUCGCACGGUCUUUGCACCGGCGACGCAUCUUUCAAAUGUCUGCCUUAUCAACUGUCGAUGGUAGGUUCUGCGCCUACCAUGGUUGUAACGGGUAACGGGGAAUCAGGGUUC